rnacentral:rRNA from 1 species
ACGUAGGGGGCAAGCGUUAUCCGGAUUUACUGGGUGUAAAGGGAGCGUAGACGGCUUUGCAAGUCUGAUGUGAAAGGCGGGGGCUCAACCCCUGGACUGCAUUGGAAACUGUGAGGCUUGAGUGCCGGAGAGGUAAGCGGAAUUCCUAGUGUAGCGGUGAAAUGCGUAGAUAUUAGGAGGAACACCAGUGGCGAAGGCGGCUUACUGGACGGCAACUGACGUUGAGGCUCGAAAGCGUGGGGAGCAAACAG